UGGGGAAUAUUUCACAAUUGGCGCAAGCCUGAUGCAGCCAUGCCGCGUGUAUGAAGAAGGCCUUCGGGUUGUAAAGUACUUUCAGCGGGGAGGAAGGGAGUAAAGUUAAUACCUUUGCUCAUUGACGUUACCCGCAGAAGAAGCACCGGCUAACUCCGUGCCAGCAGCCGCGGUAAUACGGAGGGUGCAAGCGUUAAUCGGAAUUACUGGGCGUAAAGCGCACGCAGGCGGUUUGUUAAGUCAGAUGUGAAAUCCCCGGGCUCAACCUGGGAACUGCAUCGGAUACUGGCAAGCUUGAGUCUCGAAGAGGGGGGUAGAAUUCCAGGGGGAGCGGUGAAAUGCGUAGAGAUCUGGAGGAAUACCGGUGGCGAAGGCGGCCCCCUGGACGAAGACUGACGCUCAGGUGCGAAAGCGUGGGGAGCAAACAGG
rnacentral:rRNA from 1 species